GAGAGAGGCUUGCAGCAAUGAAAACUGCUAAUUUUCACACCCUAGGUUGAACUCCUAGGCUCACUCG
rnacentral:tRNA from 1 species